CACUUGGAGGAUGUAUAGCAAUAGCUAUUUGCAUCCAUUAAGGAUGCAAAAUCGAUAACAACGAAUAAAGUUCUAGAUAAGAUUAUGAUAAUGACAUUACUUAUCUAUGUGUCUUGACCAAAUUAUGUGCCAGCAGUCGCGGUAAAACAUAAAAGACUAGCGUUAUUCAUCUUUAAAAGGUUUAAAGGGUAUCUAGACGGUAAAUAAAGCCUAAAUAAGGGACUAAUUUACUAGAGUUACAUGUGAAGGGGCUCCAAAGUACUGAUGGUGUAGAGAUGAAAUUCCGAAAUACCUUUUUUAUUCAGAAAAUCAAUGGCACAGGUAUAGGCGAAGGCAUCCCCUUAUUAGAUAACUGACGUUAAAAUACGAAGGCUCUGAGACGCGAACAGGAUUAGAGACCCUAUUAGUCGGAGCAGUAAACGAUGAAUGUCAUAGGUUAGAUAAUUAUUUAUCCUGUAAACGAAAGUGUAAGCAUUCCACCUCGAGAGUAAUAUGGCAACGUUGAAACUGAAUCAUUAGACCGUUUCUGAGACCAGUAGUGAAGUAUGUUGUUUAAUUUGAUAGCCCGCAGAAAACCUUACCACAACUUGAAUAUUUAUAUCUUGCAUAUAAUUACAAGUGUUGCACGGCUGUCUUCAGUUAAUGUCGUGAGACAUCGGUUGGCUCCAUUUAAUUAACGCAAACCCUUGCUUUAUUUUUUUAUAUAAAGUAUUCUACUUUAGAAAAGUUUUGAUAAUAGGGACUAGGGACAAGCCCUCAUGACCUAAAUGUUG
rnacentral:rRNA from 1 species